rnacentral:rRNA from 1 species
UUGAACUGGAAUGAAGGGUAGAAACUAAUGGGAAUGUUUUAUUUAAUAGUUUUGAAUUUUAAUUAAAAGUAAAAAUGCUUUUAUAGAUUUUUGGGACGAGAAGACCCUAGAAGUUUAAAAUAUAAAAUUAUUUUUGGUUGGGGUAACACAUUUGAAGAAAAAAAUUUUUGAUUUUUUAAUUAUAUAAUUUUAAAAAAAAAUUACUCUAGGGAUAACAGCGUUAUUAAAUUAGCAAGUUCUUAUUAAUAAUUUAGUUUGCGACCUCGAUGUUGAAUUAAUU